ACUCCUACGGGAGGCAGCAGUGGGGAAUAUUGCACAAUGGGGGGAAACCCUGAUGCAGCCAUGCCGCGUGUGUGAAGAAGGCCUUCGGGUUGUAAAGCACUUUCAGUAGGGAGGAAGGUAGUGUAGUUAAUAGCUGCAUUAUUUGACGUUAGCGACAGAAGAAGCACCGGCUAACUCCGUGCCAGCAGCCGCGGUAAUACGGAGGGUGCGAGCGUUAAUCGGAAUUACUGGGCGUAAAGCGCAUGCAGGUGGUUUGUUAAGUCAGAUGUGAAAGCCCGGGGCUCAACCUCGGAAUUGCAUUUGAAACUGGCAGACUAGAGUACUGUAGAGGGGGGUAGAAUUUCAGGUGUAGCGGUGAAAUGCGUAGAGAUCUGAAGGAAUACCGGUGGCGAAGGCGGCCCCCUGGCACAGAUACUGACACUCAGAUGCGAAAGCGUGGGAGCAAACA
rnacentral:rRNA from 1 species